rnacentral:rRNA from 1 species
AACGAACGCUGGCGGCGUGUCUUAAGCAUGCAAGUCGAGCGGCAAGGGUAGCAAUACCCCUAGAGCGGCGGACUGGUGAGUAACACGUGGGUGAUCUACCUCGGGGUUGGGGAUAGCCAUUAGAAAUAUUGGGUAAUACCGAAUACGAUCCGUUGACUACGGUCAGCGGAGGAAAGGCGCUACGGCGCCGCCCUGAGAUGAGCCCGCGCCCCAUUAGCUAGUUGGUGAGGUAAUGGCCCACCAAGGCUAUGAUGGGUAGGCGGCCUGAGAGGGUGUACGCCCACAUUGGGACUGAGAUACGGCCCAAACACCUACGGGAGGCAG